rnacentral:rRNA from 1 species
CCUACGGGCGGCUGCAGUGGGGAAUCUUGCGCAAUGGGCGAAAGCCUGACGCAGCGACGCCGCGUGGGUGAUGAAGGCCUUCGGGUUGUAAAGCCCUGUGGGGAGAGACGAAUAAGUCCGAGCCAACACCUCGGGCGAUGACGGUAUCUCCUUAGCAAGCACCGGCUAACUCUGUGCCAGCAGCCGCGGUAAGACAGAGGGUGCGAACGUUGUUCGGAAUUACUGGGCGUAAAGCGCAUGUAGGCGGCCGGGCAGGUCGGAUGUGAAAGCCCUGG